rnacentral:rRNA from 1 species
AAAAWUCUAAACGACUCUCGGCAACGGAUAUCUCGGCUCUCGCAUCGAUGAAGAACGUAGCGAAAUGCGAUACUUGGUGUGAAUUGCAGAAUCCCGUGAACCAUCGAGUCUUUGAACGCAAGUUGCGCCCGAAGCCUUGGCUGAGGGCACGCCUGCCUGGGU